UUAGAUACUUAAAAAUCUUGAAAGACCGGCGUGGUCACAUAAUGGAACGUAAAGAAGUUUCAGAUAUUGCAGCACAAAGAAAAAGGCCUAAUCUAACGCAAGAAAUGUACCAAACUGUAUACUAUUAUUUGCUAGAGAGAAAACUAUAAGUCGAAUUUGGCAUCGAGGACAGCAAUCCUUACGUGAAUGGUCAGUAUGUGCAAAUACAAAUUCGCGAAACUCUGGAAAAGUUGGCAGGAAACGAAACACCGUAGACAAGGGCGUCGCCAGCUUAUGACUAAGGGGGGGCAAUAUUAUGGAGGAUAAAAAAUAUGAACGCCUGGUACAGUCGAAAGCAUGAAGCGUUACACUUUGGAAGUCUUUGCCUCGAUGACGAUUGUAUUAAGAACGGUUCUGAUAUCAAUGUAUAAAACUGCACAUGCCCUCGAUAGCACAAUAACUAAAUCAAACUUUUAAA